rnacentral:lncRNA from 1 species
UUUAAAAUUGAAACCACCACCACCACCACCACCACCAACAACAACAAAAAGUAGGGGUAUGGAUUCGUAGCUCCAGAUAGCAUCCUCACAAGUGAUAAAAGAAAUGGACAACAUGGGACAGAAAAGGGGCUGUAAAAAAUGCUAAUCUGACCAUCACUCCUCACUGACAGCACCAUUAUCAGUUAAUUACUACAAUCCAGGGGUCUAAAGCUUCAUGGAUCUUAGGAACUCAAACCCAGAGACUAGAGUGGUAGGAUAGCGUUCUGUAGGUGGCUGGAGAGAGGGGACCAGUGGGUAAAUUUUGGUGGUAUCUACCAUGAGUAGUUGGCUGGCUCUGAGUUAUACUUACUGCAAUUGUUCAUUUUUUUUCUUUUUAGCAUCUUUUGACACAUUUUACUUCCGUAAUUUCGGACUGCCAGGUAAACUUGCUGCUUUGGCAAACUCUGAAUCUAAGAUGCUAUUUUAAAUUAGUCCCUAGUUUAGAAAGUCUGUCCCACCCCAGGGGGUGAUUAUGAGGGAACUAACAGGGUGAUGUGACAGGGAAGUUGGCAUUUGGUGAUCAGGAAGAAGGUGGAAGAAUGUGGUUGUAUAGUUUCUAACUUAGAUGUCAGCCUGCUCCCUCACUCUUGGGCUGUACAAGCAGGCCCUCUGGUGAGCUGCUCUUUAAGAUACACAUUUAGAAUUCUCAAGCACCAUAGAUCUGUGAUGACGCUGGUUGUGGGCCAUUCUGGGUGCCUAGGGAGGAAUACCAUAGAGGAUUAUCUCUCCCCCGGGAGGCUAAGGGCCGAGUGGCCCUGGGUCUGCACAUCAUCACAGGAAGGCAGCCCAGGUUUAGGGGAGUGUUGGAGAUUCUGUGUCCAUAAUCCUCUUUGAGGCUGAUGGUGUAUCUACAGCUCUGUACAUCACAAGCUCAGCUGAAGGGGCAAGGCUAGUUUCAAACAUUUACUUUGUGUCCAUGUUAUUUGUCUCUUUUCUCUUACUACCACUUUCUCAAAAGACUCAAAGGGCAAGAAAAAGGCUGGGGAACCCGUUGCAAACAUUUUUUGCCCUAUGUGAGAUAUGACUUUUAAGCUCUGUUUUAAACUAAAUAUUUUUUUAAACUUCAGUCUCUUUUUAAGGGGAAAUACAGAUCUUUUCCAAAUAUUUAUUAUUUCAAAGGCAAGGGCAAUUUUGUAUCUCGUGUUUUGCUCAUGAGUACUCCAAAUAAACUGGAUCUGAAAAGAACCAGGCCAGAAGGCCAUAAACACACAUUUUAUAUUUACAGGAAUUAUGACUCAAUUCCCUUCAUCAUCUUUCAAGUCCCCCUAUUACCUUCCUUCCUGAACUGAGGUAGUAAACUGAUUGGGAAGACUCCUCAAAAUACCUGUAACAAAGUGAACUCCAGAACAUGCUAAGAACCCCAAAGGAAUUCCAAACCCAGAAGGUGACAGGAAAAUGAAUCUGUUACUGAAGAUGUAAACCUCAGCCUCACCUGCUCCAAAGACACUGUUUCUGCCACACUCAGGAUCCCCUGCAGGCCUUUUCCCUCCUGGGAAGGCACUAUGUCACUUUUCAUGUUAGCCACUUAGUCCCACCAUGUUUUAGGACAUCCAGAACAAGGCCUAUGGGCUGAGUGGCAGCCAAAGCUUCCCUCUGAGAGAGCCCUUUUUUUCCUUUUUCUUUUUGGGUAUUUGUGUACAGACAUGACAAAAUUGUUUCAAAGUAGACAGCUGUAAAGUAGGGAAUCUGGUCGAUUGAACUUUUAUGUCCCAUUCAAAAAAUGAAGGGCAGGAGAAGGUGCCCUUGACUCUUAUGUGGCUUUCUUUUCUUCUGAGGAAUUUCUUCUUGGAUUUGGGGGAAGGGUGGGGCAUUUGGGGAGUAAACCCCCCUGCCACAGGUUCUCCAUUCAAAACAGAUCUGUGCAGACAGAGGAGGCGGGGGGGGGGGGCUGGUUCAAAGGCAGGGAUGGCUGUGGAGAGGAUGAUAAAAAAAAAUGAACCCUUCAGUCCAGUUGUGCCUAGGAAAUAGCAAAGUCAAGGUUUCCUAUGUCCCUGUACAUUUUUUUCCUAUUUUUCUGCUCCCUCUUUUGCUUUCCCCAAUUUUACUCCCCAGAAGUGUUGUGGUUUAUAUUUUAUUUAACCCUGUCACUGAACCUGAGACUUAUGGAAGAAUGAAGCACUAGUUUGUCCUUAGAUUCUUUAUGGAAAAUCCUACUAUCCAUUAUGACCAGCAGUUGGUAUUCUAUUUUCUUCAAUAACCCAUGAUUGCAUUCUUGCAUUAACGGGAAAAUAUGUGGAGAGUUCUCAUUGAUGAAGAAGGAUUUGGUACUGUGACAGGUAUCCGUAAAUUAAAAAUACUCAUUCAGACUAAAGGCAGCAUAAAAUGUCCUGUGAACUGGCAUUGCAAAGGAUAAUACUAUAUAUAAUACCAUUAAACAUAAUAUAUGUUAUUAUACUUGUCUCAAGAAGUAUGAUAGAUCUGAUCUUUGCCACUUUGCAGUAGAAUCCUGAGUUUAGAAUAAAAUGUUAUAAGACAAUACAUCCCACAGGAUUUAUAAAACAUACACAAAGAAUUGCACACACAGAAAUAUUUCAGUGCUGGAUGUGCAUUUGAGAGGUAGACCCUGGCUUUCACUCACAGAACUUAAAAAUAAGCAAUUAAAAAAACCCCGCAAUAAUACAAAUAAAAGUUAAUUAUAAAGAGAAUUAUUUCUUCCAAGCUGUAAACAAGUCAUUUAGAAUUCAGACGAGAACAUGGCUAUGAUUUUGUAUUUAUACUCUUUGGAACUAGCUAGCAGUGGAUUUAAGCAAGCAUGCCAUGCAGUCUGGGAUUGAGGAUAAGUAGGAAUGAAAUGGCUGCUUAACACGUGGAGCUUCUGAGGCAUCAUUUGUGGGACUGAAGGACUGACUUGUGACUGGAGCCCCUUUCCUUCCCAGUUCUAACUGCCAUGUUGAGGGUACUCCUUGGAAGACUCCCCAACGUGACUUUAUUUGCUGCACGGCAUAGAUGGAUUUUUUUUUUUUUUUAACCUCUGACAGUUCACUCCAAGCCUUUCCUGCAUUCUUCUACAGUCUUUGCUUAGAGACAAGGGACUUGAGCCAGGAUAGGUUAGGUUUCAGGUUAACAAAAAGAAACACUUUUAUUGUCAAUAUUAAUGGCAAACUUCGAUUUUUACAAGGCCUGGGUUUAGCAGAUCAAAAGCAGCUUGUCUUGAUUUCUCAAUAUUCUCUGGAGUUUAGACAAUUAACUGCAAUUUUGGUUCUAAUGAAACAAUAUGAGAAAGCUAGUUGCAAAAAACAUUGGUAAAGUUAGCACUGGGAUACAGAUUUUUACCUGUACAUAACAUAUUAUGAUCUAGUAAUUUAUCCCUUCAACUGGAGCUGAGUUUGGAAGGAGCAUUCCUUUAAGAAAAUAUGUUCAAGCACCGUCCUCACUUGCAAUGUCAUGAGUCUUUUUCAGAGUGUGCAUUCCACGGUUGCCUUUCUGGCUGGGUAAGGAUCCGGCAGACUGAGGUCUUCCUGGUAAUUUGGGUACACCAAGUCUCCAGUUAAUGAUAGAUAAUCAGCCUUUGGGUCAUUCGGUCAUUCUCUUAUUACAAACCCCUCCUGCUCUCUCUGAUCUCCUUUCAAACUAAAUUUCACACAAACAAAUAAAGCAAGACAGGGACAAAUUCUC